ACUGCUAUCGGAUUGAUACUAAGCCAUGCGAGUCUUUGUAGCAAUACAAGGCGGACGGCUCAGUAACACGUAGUCAAUCUAACCUAUGGACGAGGAUAACCUCGGGAAACUGAGAAUAAUACUCGAUAGAUCAUUAUGCCUGGAAUGGUUUAUGGUCCAAAUGAAUUUCGCCAUAGGGUGGGACUGCGGUCUAUCAGCUUGUUGGUGAGGUAAUGGCCCACCAAGGCUAUAACAGAUACGGGCUCUGAGAGGAGAGGCCCGGAGAUGGGUACUGAGACACGGACCCAGGCCCUAUGGGGCGCAGCAGGCGAGAAAACUUUGCAAUGUGCGAAAGCACGACAAGGUUAAUCCGAGUGGUUCCUGCUAAAGGAAUCUUUUGUUAGUUGUAGCACUACUGAUGAAUAAGGGGUGGGCAAGUUCUGGUGUCAGCCGCCGCGGUAAAACCAGCACCUCAAGUGGUCAGGAGGAUUAUUGGGCCUAAAGCAUCCGUAGCCGGCUUUGUUAGUUUUCGGUUAAAUCUAUAUGCUCAACAUAUGGGCUGCCGGGAAUACUGCAAAGCUAGGGAGUGGGAGAGGUAGACGGUACUCCGUAGGAAGGGGUAAAAUCCUUUGAUCUAUGGAUGACCACCUGUGGCGAAGGCGGUCUACAGAACACGUCCGACGGUGAGGGAUGAAAGCUGGGGGAGCAAACCGGAUUAGAUACCCGGGUAGUCCCAGCUGUAAACAAUGCAAACUCGGUGAUGCAUUGGCUUGUGGCCAGUGCAGUGCCGCAGGGAAGCCGUUAAGUUUGCCGCCUGGGAAGUACGUACGCAAGUAUGAAACUUAAAGGAAUUGGCGGGGGAGCACCACAAGGGGUGAAG
rnacentral:rRNA from 1 species